CCCCCCCCCCCCCCCAACAAAUCGCACCCUGCUCAAAAUCUCUGAAGAAUGUCUCCAGCACCUUGUUGAACGUUGUAUACCUGGUGUAUGGCUCUUGUUUGUGGCUUUGACUGCUUUAAACAGCCCCUCCUGUGUGCUAGGAGAGCUCAGUCGUUUGGUGUCCUCUAAUGACAGCAUGGGGAGAUUUAAUUAACCAACAAAAUUGGUCAUUUCCAGAAGGAACAGAGCCACAUGUACACAGAUCUUUAAAGUCAUUUUUGAAGGUCUCGUUCAUUUCCUCCAUUAAUAUGUUCAUGUUUAGCACGUCUAAUUGCUGGUAUAGACCUUCCUGUUGUUUAAGAGUUAGUGCCAGAAGAUGACUCAUUGAACAUAUCGACAUAUUUUUAGGUAGGCCUUUUUACUUCAAGUACUCCAUUUCACACACUACCACUACCAUGAAAUGUCCAGAGGAAGAUGAUUAAAUGCAGAAUCCAUCUCCUCUGGCUUCUCCUCCUGUCUUCCUUCCGUCUUCUUCCUUCUCUGCAUUGAACACAUAGGGGGUUAUUCAUUGUACGAUCCCUGGCAGCACCGCGAUGUCCUGUCCUACCUGGGCUCUUUGAUAUAGAUAACUAACAGCUUAUCUUAACAUGCUUGUUCUUUCCUGCUGCAGGUUUGACUCAUUCUUGUGAAAGUCCAUUUCCACCCCCCCCAAUAGAAAAAAACAUGUGAUGGUGUCUCAAGUGAUUGUAGUAUAACAACACCUGUGUCUGGAAUCAGUAAUCAGGAAGAGAGCCACUGUUGAAAAAAACUCGUAUCAAGUAUCGACUACAGUUCGCCAAAAGGCAUGUGGGAGACUCCAUGGUCAAGCGGAAGAAAGUUCUGUUCUCUGAGCUUUUUUUCAACAGUGGCUCUCUUCCAAAAAGCUUUGAUUGGUGAAGAACCCGGGCAACAGUGGUUGUAUGCAGAGUCUCUCCCAUCUCAGAUGCUGAAGCUUGUAACUCCUUCAGAGUAGUCAUAGGUGUCUUGGUGGCCUCUCUCACUAGUUUCCUUCUUGCACUGUCACUCAGUUUGCACUGUCACUCAACUUAUAUUGACCAUGAUUGAUUCAUAAAAGCAAUAAAAGGGUAAAACAUCCAAGGGGGUGAAUACUCAUGCAAGGCACUGUACAUGUCUAUAGUCAAGUCCUUUGCCUCAAUUUAACUUCCUCAGUUCCUCAGGGAAACUGAAUAGCUAUUGAUAUACUUCUACACUGGGUAAAUUGGGUAUUUGCACAAUAACACUACCCGUAUUUGUCAGAACUGGAAAACAAUGUAUCCCUUUUCAGAGGUUUAAUGCGUAACUCUUGUUAUGACAAAAUAUUGUCAUGAAUAGGGUUCUUUUUGAGUCUCAGUUUUUUAAUGUAAUGUAUUAAUGUAUUUAGGUUUUGGAUUUUCUUGGUAAUGUUUUGAAAUCACAAGAUUUGUUCUGACCUCAAAAACAGAGGACUGCUGAGCUGUUUAAUUCAAUAUCAUCUGAUCACAUGGGGGUGUAUUUCAAAAGGUUGCAUGCCUCCUGUUCUGCACGCAAGCUUCCAGGGCACCCAUAUAGGUAGAUCACAUGCCUUUUAGAACGCGACCGCCAUAUAGGUAGAUCACAUGCCUUUUAGAACGCGACCGCCAUAUAGGUAGAUCACAUGCCUUUUAGAACGUCUUUUGGCUGCUUGUUUUGAAUAAUAGGUUUUAAAUGAACUGCAAUGAAAUAUCAGUUAAGUUCAAUUCUUGUGACUUUUGCAUAGUGAAAGUUUGGUUAUAUCCAACUCUGGAAAACAUUAGACACGCGUUAGGUGUGAACACUGCACCUUUCUGAUAUCUUUUUAUUGAUAAUUGUCCAGAGGCCAUUGUGUAAAUAAUCUACAUCUAAUCCUUGCUGAUUUCAAUGAUCUGUUGCCUUGAAAUAGAGCCAUUGAAUACACAGUGACUCUUGUGUAUCCUGACUGUGUUGUGAGGGAACAGUUAUAUUUAGGCACACGAUCAUUCACUGUGUCCUGUAAACAUGCAUGUAAUGACCUUAAAAACAAUUGUGGGAAUUCCCCAAGUGGGUUGUGGGAGACUCAGCUCAGACCCAAUGUCAAACAUUGCAUUGCAGCUGUAAAGUUCCCAAGCAGGAAGUUUGUUCAGCAGCAACAACUAGUAAAUCACUCUUAUUAAAGCAGCAGUGGUUGUCUAGGAUCUUCACUGAAAUAAGUUAACUUCAAACUUCAAUUGAUACAAAAUCUUUCUGAAUGUGCACAGAAUUUUCAGAAUGUGAAAACGGUUGCCAUGGACAGCCCAAAGUAAUUUCUUGAUCAAUUUCAAAUCAACUUGAAUCAGUUAUUGAGAAUAGAAGCAUGGAAUUCCCUGAAUUCCAAAAUGAAUACAUUUAACAAAAAAAUGUUGUUAUCAAAUAUGUACAUCUGAGGUCACGGAAGUCUGGAGCACAUAAGGCCCCGAUGACCCAGCUGCUAUCUAGAUAGAGCUCUAAAAGCUGGAGCACAUGAGGCCCCGAUGAGCCAGCUGCUAUCUAGACAGAGCUAUAAAAGCUGGAGCACAUGUGGUCCUGAUGAGCCAGCUGCUAUCUAGACAGAGCUAUAAAAGCUGGAGCACAUGAGGUCCUGAUGA
ensembl:lncRNA